rnacentral:rRNA from 1 species
CAGUAGCCACGGUAAGACAGAGGAUGCAAGCGUUAUCCGGAAUGAUUGGGCGUAGAGCGUGCGCAGGCGGUUGUGUAAGACAGGUGUGAAAUCCCCGGGCUUAACCUGGGAACUGCGCUUGUGACUGCACAGCUAGAGUAUGGCAGAGGGGGGUGGAAUUCCACGUGUAGCAGUGAAAUGCGUAGAGAUGUGGAGGAACACCGAUGGCGAAGGCAGCCCCCUGGGCCAAUACUGACGCUCAUGCACGAAAGCGUGGGGAGCAAACAGGAUUAGAUACCCGUGUAGUCCCUGUCUCUUAUAC